rnacentral:pre_miRNA from 1 species
GUUCUACUUCCUUCGUCUGAAAAUACUUGUCAUAGAAAUGGGUGUAUCUAUACGUAUUUUAGUUCUAUAUACAUUCAUUUUAUACAUUUGUGCAACAAAUAAUUCUGGACGGAGGGAGUAUUAA